rnacentral:rRNA from 1 species
GAUGAACGCUGGCGGCGUGCCUAAUACAUGCAAGUCGAGCGAACAGACGAGGAGCUUGCUCCUCUGACGUUAGCGGCGGACGGGUGAGUAACACGUGGAUAACCUACCUAUAAGACUGGGAUAACUUCGGGAAACCGGAGCUAAUACCGGAUAAUAUAUUGAACCGCAUGGUUCAAUAGUGAAAGACGGUCUUGCUGUCACUUAUAGAUGGAUCCGCGCCGCAUUAGCUAGUUGGUAAGGUAACGGCUUACCAAGGCAACGAUGCGUAGCCGACCUGAGAGGGUGAUCGGCCACACUGGAACUGAGACACGGUCCAGACUCCUACGGGAGGCAGCAGUAGGGAAUCUUCCGCAGUGGGCGAAAGCCUGACGGAGCAACGCCGCGUGAGUGAUGAAGGUCUUCGGAUCGUAAAACCCUGUUAUUAGGGAAGAACAAAUGUGUAAGUAACUAUGCACGUCUUGACGGUACCUAAUCAGAAAGCCACGGCUAACUACGUG